rnacentral:rRNA from 1 species
UACGGGGGGAGCAAGCGUUGUUCGGAUUUACUGGGCGUAAAGGGCGCGUAGGCGGCCACCGCAAGUCAAUUGUGAAAUCUCCGGGCUUAACCAUAAAAGUGCAUCCGAAACUGCAGUGCUUGAGUACUUAAGAGGAUCGCGGAAUUCCCGGUGUAGAGGUGAAAUUCGUAGAUAUCGGGAGGAACACCAGUGGCGAAGGCGGCGAUCUGGGAAGAUACUGACGCUGAGGUGCGAAAGCGUGGGGAGCAAACAGG